CUAUUGAAGAGAGGGAAGAAGCCAAGUCCUCUAUUCUCCCAAGUACUUCAUUCAUCUGGGCUCCACACUUCCUGCCAGCAGAAGAGAGAAUGCAGUGGAGGAUCUUGGCACUUUUAGCCCUGUUACCUCUGCUCCAAGGGGAUUCAACCACCACCCAAGUUUCUCCAGCACAGAAUGAAAUCCCUAGAAAAGAGGAAAUCAGUAGAGAAUCCAGUUCUAAGUUGGAUUUGGAUUCUAAUCCUGAAUUUGGUGAGGAGUCAAGUGAAGAAACCAUUGAAGAAUCUACUGGGAAAGCCAUUAGAGAAAUCAUAGUAAAACAAGUCAAGAAACUUGAGGGAGAGCGCCAGUGGAAAUCCAGAGAGGAUGCAGUCUGGCAGCCUACUAUUGAUUAUAACUGGGAAUACAAUGAAGAUUUUAAUUGGGAAUCCAGUGGACAGUCAAGUGAAGAAUACAAUAAGGAGGCACCUGAUGAUUCCAGCCCUGGGAUGGCGGUGGCCAACACCACAGUAGCACCUAGCAUGAAGAUGGUAUCGGUUGUGAUAAAGGAACCAACAGCUGUUCCUUAGAGAAGAAUGUAAACUGGCACCAGAAGAAAUUGGACAGUUCUUACUACAUACUUUGAUUUAUAGUUUAUGGGUGGGAGGGAUUGACUUUCCAGUUUUGUUUUCUAUGUGGAUAAUACCAGAAGGGCAUGAAAUCAGCUUUGCCUGUACCAAGUGUGUCUUAAACAAUUGAUUACCUGUCUCUGCAUUAGGAGAUAAGGCACCUUCUACGUUCUUUAGAGUUCUUCCCCAGGGCCUGGGUUGAAUAAGCUAUUCACCAAAUAGGUUGGAUAAACUUCCCAGAUACCAGACUGCUGGCUACCUAGUUCUGGUUCUUGCAUUUCCUCUUAUGUCUAGAGGCAAAAAGUAGAGAUUAUACUUUAGACAGAAGUACCCUCUGUGGCUAUCCAAGCCUUUUUUUUUUUCCUAGCAGAAGAGAGGUGGGAUUAAAGUUCUUUUGUAUUCCUAUUCUUUCCCCAUAUUGUUUUUAAAUUUUAAUUUAAUUAUAAAAUAUUUUAUUGAACAUUAUUGUGAACACAAACUACCACCUUGAUACAUACAGUCAUACUUUGGACAACCCUCCCAUAUAACACAAAAGUAAAUUUCAACCCCAGGAAGCAAUGUAUUGGCCCUAUCUUGUAGUAUAUGGUCCAAUCUCCAUCUC
rnacentral:lncRNA from 1 species